rnacentral:lncRNA from 1 species
AUGGCAACGUCCUCCAGGCGGACGCUGAUCCGAAGGGCUGAGGAGUCGAGGCGGGCGUCGCCGCAGGAGGCAGCGCCAUCCGGGCAGCAGGAGGCGCCGAGGGCAAGGCCACCAGUCCGGCGGCCGAGACAAGGACGAGGCAGGGACCAGCGGCGUCCUCCUUGGACCACCGCGACGAGAGGCGGGAACCAGCGGCGUCCUCCUUGGACCACCGCGACGAGAGCCGGGAACCAGCGGCGUCCUCCUUGGACCACCGCGACGAGAAACAGGAACCGAUGCAGGUGCGGCCGGAGCCGGGCCGCCAGGAACCGAUGCAGGUGCGGCCGGAGCCGGGCCGCCAGGAACCGAUGCAGGUGCGGCCGGAGCCGGGCCGCCAGGAACCGAUGCAGGUGCGGCCGGAGCCGGGCCGCCAGGAACCGAUGCUGGUGCGGCCGGAGCCGGGACGGGCGCGACCCCCUCCUGGAGGUCCGCCGGGACUACGACGGGAGCGACCCCCUCCUGGAGGUCGGCAGGGACUACGGCGGGAGCGACCCCCUCCUGGAGGUCGGCAGGAACUACGACGGGAGCGACCCCCUCCUGGAGGUCGGCAGGAACUACGGCGGGAGCGACCCCCUCCUGGAGGUCGGCAGGAACUACGACGGGAGCGACCCCCUCCUGGAGGUCGGCAGGAACUACGACGGGCGCGACCCCCUCCUGGGGGUCGACAGGAACUGCGACGGGCGCGACCCCCUCCUGGGGGUCCGCCGGGACUGCGACGGGCGCGACCCCCUCCUGGGGGUCCGCCGGGACUGCGACGGGCGCGACCCCCUCCUGGAGGCGCGCAGGAACUGCGGCUGGCGCGACCCCCUCCUGGAGGCGCGCAGGAACUGCGGCUGGCGCGACCUCCUCCUGGAGGCGCGCAGGAACUGCGGCUGGCGCGACCUCCUCCUGGAGCGUGGCGCGACCUCCUCCUGGAGGCGCGCAGGAACUGCGGCUGGCGCGACCUCCUCCUGGAGGCGCGCAGGAACUGCGGCUGGCGCGACCUCCUCCUGGAGGCGCGCAGGAACUGCGGCUGGCGCGACCUCCUCCUGGAGGCGCGCAGGAACUGCGGCUGGCGCGACCUCCUCCUGGAGGCGCGCAGGAACUGCGGCUGGCGCGACCUCCUCCUGGAGGCGCGCAGGAACUGCGGCUGGCGCGACCUCCUCCUGGAGGCGCGCAGGAACUGCGGCUGGCGCGACCUCCUCCUGGAGGCGCGCAGGAACUGCGGCUGGCGCGACCUCCUCCUGGAGGCGCGCAGGAACUGCGGCUGGCGCGACCUCCUCCUGGAGGCGCGCAGGAACUGCGGCUGGCGCGACCUCCUCCUGGAGGCGCGCAGGAACUGCGGCUGGCGCGACCUCCUCCUGGAGGCGCGCAGGAACUGCGGCUGGCGCGACCUCCUCCUGGAGGCGCGCAGGAACUGCGGCUGGCGCGACCUCCUCCUGGAGGCGCGCAGGAACUGCGGCUGGCGCGACCUCCUCCUGGAGGCGCGCAGGAACUGCGGCUGGCGCGACCUCCUCCUGGAGGCGCGCAGGAACUGCGGCUGGCGCGACCUCCUCCUGGAGGCGCGCAGGAACUGCGGCUGGCGCGACCUCCUCCUGGAGGCGCGCAGGAACUGCGGCUGGCGCGACCUCCUCCUGGAGGCGCGCAGGAACUGCGGCUGGCGCGACCUCCUCCUGGAGGCGCGCAGGAACUGCGGCUGACGCGACCUCCUCCUGGAGGCGCGCAGGAACUGCGGCUGGCGCGACCUCCUCCUGGAGGCGCGCAGGAACUGCGGCUGACGCGACCUCCUCCUGGAGGCGCGCAGGAACUGCGGCUGACGCGACCUCCUCCUGGAGGCGCGCAGGAACUGCGGCUGACGCGACCUCCUCCUGGAGGUGCGCAGGAACUGCGGCUGACGCGACCUCCUCCUGGAGGUGCGCAGGAACUACGGCUAGCGCGACCUCCUCCUGGAGGUGCGCAGGAACUGCCACUGGCGCGACCUCCUCCUGGAGGUGCGCAGGAACUGCAGGUGCUGCCUCCUCCUGGAGGCCGGCGGGCGCUGCGGCUCCAAGGGUGACGGGGACUGGAACGACCGCUACAGGGCCGACGGGAACGGGGAAUGGAACGACCGCUACAGGGCCGACAGGAACGGGGUCAGAGACAGGGGUGACCUCUACUUGGCCUACGGGAACGCCCUCAACUUGGCCUACGGGAACGCCCUCUACUUGGCCUACGGGAACGCCCUCUACUUGGCCUACGGGAACGCCCUCUACUUGGCCUACGGGAACGCCCUCUACUUGGCCUACGGGAACGCCCUCAACUUGGUCGACAGGGACAGGAGCUGGAACGACCUCAACUUGGUCGACAGGGACAGGAACUGGAACGACCUCAACUUGGUCGACAGGGACAGGAACUGGAACGACCUCAACUUGGUCGACAGGGACAGGAACUGGAACGACCUCAACAUGGCCGACAGGAACAGGAACUGGAACGACCUCAACUUGGUCGACAGGGACAGGAACUGGAACGACCUCAACAUGGCCGACAGGAACAGGAACUGGAACGACCUCAACUUGGUCGACAGGGACAGGAACUGGAACGACCUCAACAUGGCCGACAGGAACAGGAACUGGAACGACCUCAACUUGGUCGACAAGAACUGGAACGACCUCAACAUGGCCGACAGGAACUGGAACGACCUCAACAUGGCCGACAGGAACUGGAACGACCUCAACAUGGCCGACAGGAACUGGAACGACCGCAACAUGGCCGACAGGAACUGGAACGACCUCAACAUGGCCGACAGGAACUGGAACGGCCUCUGCUUGGCCGACAGGAACUAGAACGGCGUCCUCCUCUGAGGAGCCGACAGGAACUGGAACUAGAAUGGCCUCAAUAUGGCCGACGGGAACAGGAACGGCGUCCUCCUCUGAGGAGCCGACAGGAACUAGAACGGCGUCCUCCUCUGAGGAGCCGACAGGAACUAGAACGGCCGCAACAUGGCCGACAGGGACUGGAACGGCCGCAACAUGGCCGACAGGGACUGGAACGGCGUCAACUCCGGAGCUGGCAUGA